rnacentral:ncRNA from 1 species
CUUAUUGCGAGCGGCUGAGGGAGAGGCCCUGCGAAGCCCGGCAACCUGCUUGAUCAUACAAAACAGCAAGGUGCUAAAUCCUACGGCGGCUGCCGGAAGAUAAGG